rnacentral:ncRNA from 2 species
GUGGCCCUUCGAGGACCGGUGAAAUUCCGGUACCGGCGGUAAAAGUCCGCAACCCUUGGCCCGCAACCAGGGUGGAGCUGGUGGAAUUCCAGCACCGACGGUUCAUAGUCCGGACGGGAGUUGGGCAUG